rnacentral:rRNA from 1 species
CAAGAGCGUAUAUUAAAGUUGUUGCAGUUAAAAAGCUCGUAGUUGGAUUUCUGGUACAAUGCGCCUGGCCCGCGACCGUUAGGUCUGUGAGUGCCGGUGCGCGUUUGCCAUCCUUCUAGAAAACGUUUCUACCCUUCACUGGGCCGGACUCGCGAUCUAGAUCUUUUACUUUGAAAAAAUUAGAGUGUUUAAAGCAGGCUUUUGCUGUGAAUACAUUAGCAUGGAAUAAUAAUCUAGGACUUCGGUUCUAUUUUGUUGGUUUCUAGUACUGAAGUAAUGAUUGAUAGGGAUAGUUGGGGGUGCUAGUAUUGGCCGGCCAGAGGUGAAAUUCUUGGAUUCGGUCAAGACUAACUUAUGCGAAAGCAUUCACCAAGGAUGUCUUCUUUAA